UCUACGACGGCCAAGAAGUAAACUAUGAGUCAGGCGAUAAGCUGUUUUGAAAAUUCUGUCAGCGUACUAUUGAUUGGACCCGUAAAAAUGUGUGAUGACCACUUAAAAUCUAAAGCCCAUGUGAAGAACAAGGAAAAGCACCGUGUUUGCCAGAGCAUGCCUCUUCAAACUACCAUUACUAGUGCAAGCGCAUUUUCAGAUUUAAGACAAUUUAUUUCAGGACUUUGUGGCUGUGUGCACCAAGUCUGACAUACCCUUAGAAAAGCGAAGAAAGCUACAGAUGUUUCUAGUGAAGCAUUGCAAACAGGGAGGAGCGUUGCCCGAAAAUGAGAGCAGCCUCGGUCAAACUCACCUGCCUUGUGUGUUCAACCAACAUAUGACUGUCGUUCUACAGAAGAUCCGCAGGAAGAAGUUUGGGGUGGUUGUUGACAAGACAACAGAUGCAAGGGAUUGCAGCGGUCUAAACAUUGUCAUUGGUGUUGAAAUCCAGUACUUUCUGGUGGAUGUCAUUUUCAUGGACAGAUGCAACUACUCAACGUUUUCCCAAGCUAUACUAGCCUCCCUCCACAGCAACCACUGAACCUGAAUGAUGCCUGGGCAGUGGUCACAGAUAAUGUCUCCUACUGCCUGAAGACAUACAAGGAGGUUCUGAAAGGAGUGAUGCCCAACAGUGUCCAUGUAACCGGUCUCUGCCAUGUCAUUAAUCUGGUGGGUGAGACCUGGCAGCACUACAAAUACUUCUGAAGUUGCAUCACUUGUGACAUGGAUGAGAUGUCUUCUUCAAGAAGCCUGCCAGAAAGAGAAGAUGGUUGAGCUUCCGCAUUCUGAAGGAGUUUGUGCAGGUCAAGGCUCCUCCUGAAGCAGUGAGCUCAAGGUGAAAUAGCUCCAGGUGUAGUACCAUGUAGAGCAUGUUCAUCUGUACAGAGUUUUUGUUGGCAGAAAAGUCAUCCCAUGCAGUCACAAACAUCCUCAGCCAACUGGAAACAGAGGAGAAGGUGCAGGCCCUCACUGUUAAACUAACCAUCUUAGAGGGCUGCUCCAAACUGAUGACAGCUCUAUCAAUCCUGGAAGGAACCCACAGCAGUGUCUGCAUACAAUGUCAUGGAGAAUCUGGGCUCUUAUCUAGUGAAUGGAACGGCAAAAACAUGUGGGUAUGGUGCCAAGACAGAUGAGCUAUUGAGAGGAUGGGGAUUGGAGAGAGGAGGGAGGUGCUUGACCAUCUCCAUGAUGCAUUCCACUUGGCCUUCAAAGUUCUCAAAGCACUGGGACACACAUCCAGCCAGAGAGGUUUACAGGCUGGCUAGGGUGUUCGAUCCUAGGCAGGCUCCAGCCAUGGAAAAGCAGAUUGAAGCCUACACACAACUGAAACCCAUGGCAAGCCCAUCAACAGAGCUCAGUGAAGAAUGGAUUGCCUAUCAGGGAGCCCUCAUCUGCUUUGGAGCUUGCUCAUUACUGGUGGGGCCAGAUUCCCAAGUGCAAGAUUGGAGUGAGUGCAAGAUUCCCAAGAGUUGCAGAAGUGACAGUGCCCUACAUCUACUUCCCAGUCAGUUCAGUCAACAGAGGAGUUUCAGCAAAUACAAGACUCUACUCACAGAUAAGCGAGAGGCACUCACCGAGCUCAACACAGAGGCUGACAAUCAUGUACUUCAAUGGAGAUAUCUGUGAUAGAUGGAAAACGUACAAUGGACAGACAUAGGAGCUCAUAAGGUAGUUCCAUAGGUUUUGCCUAUUGCUGCAUUAUUGCCUAGAUUCUUGCAUGAAUCUUUUUUUUCUUCCAUUUAUAAGUUUUUAAAAAAGUGCUUCACAAGUGUUACAAAAACAGAAAAAACGUAUUUUCUUACAUAAGUAUAACUCUAGGUUUUGCCUAUUGCUUGCUGCAUUGUUGCCUAGAUUCUUGCAUUACUUUUUUUCAUUUAUAAUGAAACACUUAGUAGAACUCUAUUGAAGCACUUGCCUUGAUAGAAAAUGUGUGCAAUGAUGCGUUUCAUCAUUACAAAUGUACUGUUAUACAUCUUAUUAAAAUUGACGUUUUAUUCAUUCACA